GCUGGGAUAGCUCAAUUGGUAGAGUGUGAGAUUCUUAAUCUCAGGGUCGCAGGUUCGAGCCCCAUGUGGGGCA